ACACGAGCAAACCUUCUGAUAACUGACGCUCGGGGACACAGCUGUAUUAUUGUAGCUAGCUAGCUAUGAGCUACCGUGAAGCUACAGGUUAUAUAAUUCACUUAUUAUCGGCUUUGGAAACAAAGAAAAAAAAAACGGAGGUGAAAGUAAAUGUAGCAAACUGUAACGAUAUGAACAGCCCUGAUCGCGGACGCCAGAAGCCGGCGUCGGCCUCACACCAACAAAGAGCAGUGUGGCCAAGCGAGAGCGAAAUCCUCCUCAACUUCCGGUACCGCUCUGAAGUGUUGCAUACCAGCUGACCGACCGUACAGCGGAUAAUAUUGACGUUAUACUUAACAGCCGAGGGACAAAGCAUGGGAGUGCAUUUGCAGAGCCGCACUACCUGCAUACAUCCAGCAGGCAGAGGAAGAGUUCUGCCACUUGCUCCUUCAAUUCAUUCCUGCAAGCAAUACCUCAUCCAGAUGAUGGUCGAGUGCGGUGCUGGACAAAGGUGUUAUUGGCCGUGUGCUCGGAAAACCUUCGGAUCCGACACCGCAGACUUGAGAAAAGCAGAGCGGCUUAUGAGCGCUGACCGGCCCCGAGUGGUUAUUGUUAUGUUUGGACCCACCGAGCGGAGAGAGCACCGGCUCCUGAGUGGGCGUGUGGUUGCCCCCCCCCAUUUGCCACCAUGCGAGGAGGCCCAGGUGCCUGCUUUUUUUUCCAGAGGCCACAGUGGAAACGGAGCCGUUAAGACGGCAUUCAAGCCGUCGGUAUGAGCCGAGUCAGCCCGUUUCCGCUGUGGUGAGUAUUCACAGCACUUCCCCCCCCAUCGUGCACGUUUUAUAAAUGGUAUUAUCCUUAAGGGAAUCACAUAGUGGUAUUAAGAUAAUAACAAUUGACGCACGCAAGACAGUGUUCUGUGUAGGCGUAGAGGAGCUUUUCAUCCUUAAAAAAACUAAAACCUGUGCUCGACGUGGAAAGCGUUUUUAAAGAUCUUUGCAUUCAUAAGAAGACAUAUCUGGAUAAAGAGAAUGUACAGAUGCAGACAAUCUGCACAGCCAUCUUUUUGAUUUCACACUGUCACUUUAACUGUAAUUUAUCACUUUGUCGUCACUCGUCACUUUGUUCGCUAGUGCACUUUAUGCUUAAUAUUUUUUUAACUUUUUUAAUAUUUUAAAUUUGUAACUUUAUUCCCUUGUUUUAUACUAACCCAUAGCCUUACUCUACUAACCCAUUGCAUUAGCAUUUCAUUUUACUUUAUUUUAUUACUUGUGCACUGCUGUCUUGUUGUCUAUUGUCACACUGUCUACUGUCGCGCACCAACCGCCAAGACAAAUUCCUUGUAUGUUUGACAUAUUUUGGUGAUUGAUAAGCUUUUUUGCUGCGUGAGCCAUUCAGAUCAAAUAAAAGCUCAGCGAUUCGGGGAAGCAGAGCGACCCGUCAGCACAUCCUUCAAUGUGGACGUCCCCGCCGCAGGCCAUCGACCCACUGGCGCGGUGACAGGAGCAAGAGGCUGAGCACUGAGCAUCUCCAGCUGCAGCGAUGCUUCUCGGAACUGACACCGAACAACAAACGCCAAAUGUCCUCAGAAGCACAAUUGAACGCCAGCAGGAAACGGCCGUUCUUGUGAAACCGUUCCAUGCUGGAAUGAUCACUAGCGCAUUCCGAUGGUAAGGCUGCGAUAGGUGGAAGGCAGGAGAACGCAACGUGGGAAACAGAAUUGCUUCAGCGCCUCUUCAAAACACCGCAACGCAGUCUGGGGUUGACAUCACCACCUGUGUCUUUAAACUAAAGGUGAGGUCUGAAAGAAAUGUAAGUGGGAUUUCAAGAAAUUCUGGUUAAUAUUGUUCCCUCUGGAAUUAGUACAGGGUGUGAGCAGCUUGUCGCUGGCGCAACUGACACGUCGCCAGCAUCCGAGGAGGUUGCGCUGUGAUCCAACGGGAAAGGCGGGUGAUACUGGUCUCUUUGAUCAGACCGGAGAGUUUCUUUUGAACAACAGUUGCGCUUUGUAGCUGCUAUUUAACACAAGGAACAUUUUUUGGUGCCUGUUCAGUGAUUUCCUGCUAUUGUGUUUUUGUGACUUUGUGACUAGUGUUAACAUUUAUUUCAUGUGCACGAAGUAGCAGCUUAUCCUUCGAACGAUAGUCACAUUGUUUGUAUAACGCCCUCCUCUAGUGAGUCACUGUGGGUGUUUCGCGUCAAACCGAAGUCUUUCACCUGAUGUACAUUGUGCUUCAUUUGUGAGAAAAAGGGAGUGGCUCAAGAAUUGCCAAGAGCUGAGUCAUCCGCUGCAAAAAUAUAGCCUUUUAUUUCCUAAAGCAUCUUAAGAGGUGUAGUUUGUGUGCAUAUAGCGUUGCUUCAUUAAAACAUGAGGUUUGUUUGUUGUGUCCACACACUGGCCUGUUUACCUCCCCCCACCGGGACCCAGUCUUUCUGAGGCCCCUAACCAAUGUGAGGUACUGAGCCAGAUCCCAAACAUAAACUCCAACCCCAGCCACGGAAGAGUUCUGCUCUGGUUGGGCCUCGGGCCCUCAGGACACACAGAGCCAUCUUUUCACGGGACUCCACAAACACGCCGGGCCCGGAGAAGCGGAGGGGGGGGGGGACUAUGGAAACUGGCAUCGACCACAGGACCUAGUUUCUAGGUUUCCCUGUUCUCGGAAUCAGACCCCGAGUCCUGCAGACGCCGGCGGAGCAGCGGAGACAGAGGUUGUGGCGCUCUGAGGGCCCUCUGAUUGAUCGGAGAGAAACAGAGCGGCCAUUCUCGUCAGGCCCGGCGCUUGAAUGCUAACAAGCACGAAAGUGCGUCCUCACCGCAAAGAAAUGGAUGGAGGAGUUUUGUGAGAUGGGGUAGUCGACUGGGUAAAUACGUGAGAG
ensembl:lncRNA